rnacentral:lncRNA from 1 species
AGAAAUUCCCAUAGUCAAAGCCAGUAACCAAACUCUCAGUUAUGCCCUACUCACUUCCCUUAUAUUUUAUUUUAUUUGUUCUUUGCUUUACAUUGGUCAUCCAAUUAUGGUCAUCUUUAUCCUGCAGCAGACCAUGUUUGCCAUUAUGUUUACUGUGGCUGCCUCUACUGUCUUUGCCAAGACAAUUACUGUAGUACUGGCAUUCAAGAUCACUGUCCCAGCAAGAAUUUGGAAGUGGCACCUUGUGUCAGGGGCACCCAAAUGCAUAAUACUUAUUUACACAAUGAUGCAGCCAAUUCUUUGUGGAAUCUGGAUGGGAACUUCUCCUACUCUUGUUGAUGCUGUUCUACACAUGGUACAUGGCCACAUCAUCACUGUUUGCAACAAAGAUUCAAUUAUUCCCUUCUACUGAGUCCUUUAAUACUUUUGCUCUGUUGCUCUAGCAAGUUUUACUGUAGCUUUCUUGACCAGGAAUCUGCCUGAUACAUUCAAUGAAGCCAAGCUCUGGACAUUCAUCAUGAUGGUAUUCUGAAGUGUCUGGUUAUCUUUCAUCCCUAACUAUGAUAACACCAAAAACAAGACUAUGGUUGCUGUGGAAGUUUUCUGUAUCUUGACCUCCAGUGCAGGGAUAUUUCUUUGCAUUUUUGCCCCAAGGUGCUAUAUUAUUUUAUUAAGAACACAGACAAAUUAUUUUAACAAGUUCAGUAAACCACAUGCUAAAGCUGAAUAUAUAAGUUAA